GUCCUCAUCACUUGAGUUUUCUUUCAAGUGGUCUUCCAAAGUUCUAAGUGCCAUAUCCUUCCUGUUCUUUGGAAGGAUGUCUUCUUGCUCUUCAUGAGCUUUGCAAGUCAUCUCAUAGGUCAUUAAUGACCCAAUUAGUUCUUCAAGAGGGAAGUUGUUUAGAUCUUUUGCCUCUUGAAUAGUAGUGACUUUAGGAUCCCAA
rnacentral:lncRNA from 1 species